UACGUAGGGUGCAAGCGUUAUCCGGAAUUAUUGGGCGUAAAGAGCUCGUAGGCGGUUUGUCACGUCUGCUGUGAAAACUGGAGGCUCAACCUCCAGCCUGCAGUGGGUACGGGCAGACUAGAGUGCGGUAGGGGAGAUUGGAAUUCCUGGUGUAGCGGUGAAAUGCGCAGAUAUCAGGAGGAACACCGGUGGCGAAGGCGGAUCUCUGGGCCGAUACUGACGCUGAGGAGCGAAAGCGUGGGGAGCGAACAGG
rnacentral:rRNA from 1 species